ACUCUGGAAUAGCCUUUCGAAAGAAAGAUUAAUACCGGAUAGUAUACGAAUAUCGCAUGAUAUUUUUUAUUUAAAGAAUUUCGGUUAUCGAUGGGGAUGCGUUCCAUUAGUUUGUUGGCGGGGGUAACGGGCCCACCAAGACUACGAUGGAUAGGGGUUCUGAGAGGAAGGUCCCCCACCAUUGGAACUGAGACACGGUCCAAACUCCUACGGGAGGCAGCAUG
rnacentral:rRNA from 1 species